rnacentral:rRNA from 1 species
CUGCGCAGGCCUAACACAUGCAAGUCGAACGGCAGCGGGGGAUAGCUUGCUAUCCUGCCGUCGAGUGGCGGACGGGUGAGUAAUGCAUGGGGAGCUGCCCAAUCGAGGGGGAUAACAACUGGAAACGGUUGCUAAUACCGCAUACGCCCUGCGGGGGAAAGGUGGGGACCUUCGGGCCUACCGCGAUUGGAUGCACCCAUGUGGGAUUAGCUAGUUGGUGAGGUAACGGCUCACCAAGGCGACGAUCUCUAGCUGGUCUGAGAGGAUGACCAGCCACACUGGAACUGAGACACGGUCCAGACUCCUACGGGAGGCAGCAGUGGGGAAUAUUGCACAAUGGGGGAAACCCUGAUGCAGCCAUGCCGCGUGUGUGAAGAAGGCCUUCGGGUUGUAAAGCACUUUCAGUG